GACCCGAUGUGGCGCAGUGGUUAGUACGACUGCCUGCGCCGCAGUCAGAAGGUUCCGGGUUCAAUUCCUGGUAGGGUCA